UCUGUGCACUGGCAAAAGAGGGGGAAGAAAGUUUUCAGGCAUUUUUAGGCCAGAGGAUUGUGUUUGUGUGGAUGCUGUGAUGCUCACAGGGAGUUACAACAAACCGCUGGGAAGGAAACUGGGGGGCAGAGGGGGAAGGAAGAAACAGAAAAAUAAAUAAUUCAAAUGGUCGUUCUGAAAGCACCCCAAAGAUCGCUGAAGGCACUGAUGGCUGCAGUUUGGUCCCUGAGCUGAAUUUAGGACGCAGAAUGACAAACACAGCAAAGGUGAGAGCAGACCUCCCUUUGGUAUCUAGGCAAGACUUGUUAAUAUGAUUUUGUUUUCAGAACAUUGAUUGUUACUGUUUCCUCCCAUUUGUAGGAAGGAAAGCUGGUUUUCUACUUAAUAAUCGGACAUAAAGGGGUCUUUUAGAAUAAAUACAGAACCAGGAGGUGGAAACACAUCCAGCAGAGAAGCGUGCAAAAGACACCGAGUCGUGAUGGUGGCUCUCUGGGCAGUGACCCUUUGGAAACACAGGGGGGACCAAGCAUCCCCGCCCCCCAGAACCUGGAGGACAGGACCCAGGGCACUGAGGGGUGGGUCUGACUGUGGUCCCCGAGGAUACAGGCACGAGUGUGGGUGGGUGGGAGUGUGGGGGACACAGAGUAGGAACAGUAGGAACAGGGAAAGGGGGAGAAGAUGUCACCUGCAAAGCUGCCCAGGGAGAAGCGGGGGCUCAGGGCUCGAGCUGGAGGCCAAAAUGUGGUCACGGCACGGAGGGGACCCUAAAGACACAGCUUCCAAAUCUUCUGAUUCGUUUGGGCAGAGGUUUUGAAAACUCCCUGGAGGCCUCAGAACUUUUGUUUUUGCUCGUCAAGAAAAACCCCAGAGUGGCUUUUGGUCUCAUGACCUGUGACUCUCCUUCUGCCCAGGCCCCGGCAGGCAGAGCUGCGGGAAGCCGGGAACACUUGUGUCUGCCCAGUCCAGGAGCGCCAGAGAACUAAGUUCAGCCCGAUCAGCUGCGCUCCUCGUCCUGGAUAAUCUUACAGCAGCAUCCGGUUCCCGCGCGGCCUGCGGCCACCAGGCUCGAUGACAGACCUGUGCCUGCCACUCUGAGCUCGUCCGGGAUCGUGACUUCGAUUGGCGGUGAAUAUUUGAAGUCCCCAUUUGUUACAUCCGUCCGCGGCAUCUUGACACGUCCAGCACGUGUGUCCCCGUUACAGUCCCUUUGGGGCGACGCGCAGCUGCUGAGGGUCACCGUCAGUCUCUCCAAGGGGUCUGCUGCACGUCCGCCAUGCUCCCUGAAGCGAAUUUCCAGAAUACCUAGCCCGAGAGUUUAGGUCAGGUCGUUCCAGCCCUGACCCCUGCAGCCAGCCUCUCCAGCCGUUUCCCCGGGAGGCUGUAAGAGAGAGCAGUUUGCUUACAUUAUGAAAAUAAAGUUAACAAGCC